CACCGCCAUUGUUCAUCUCUGGCCGAAGAUCUAACCCCGAAGAUCCAUCUAUUCGCAGUGACUAUUCUCUGAGUCUUGAAGGAUCGCUGUUCGAAAGCUUUGAAGAUUAAGAGUUUCAAGAGAGCAAGAGCCGAAGAGCAGUAAGAAGUAACUUGUCGCUGGAGAAAGGCAAGUGUGUCCUUAUACUUUUGUCCCAAUAACUUUAUUUAAUCACUAUUGCAUAUGCUUGCAUUA